GGUAAAGAAUUAUUUCCUUUAUUUUAACAUGUACGAAGUGCAAAUGAGAGAACCAGAUGCUUUAAGCCAAUUCUCAAUGCUUAACCUUAGUCUACAGAAGCUUGUUGUUUUCUGUGGUCAAUGAACAAACAGGUUACACCAGGACACGUGAGCUAGUAAUAGAAUAUCUCAAGUUGGAAGGGACCCAUAUGGCUCAUUGAGUCCAACUCCCUGCUACUUACAGGACUACCUAAAAUUAAAUGAUAUGACUAAGAGCAUUGUCCGGAUGCUCCUUGGACUCUGACAGGCUUGGUGUUGUGACCACUUCACUGGGGAGACUGUUCCAGUGACUGACCACCCUCUUGGAGAAGAACCUUCUGCUAAUAUCUAAUAUGAACUUCCCCUGCCACACCUGUAUUCCAUUUCCUCAUGUUCUAUUGCUCAUCACCAGAGAAAAAUGCUAUGCUUCUGCUUAGCAUUUCUCUCUAGAGCCUGAAGCACCUUUCCAUCCUCCACUCACUGUAGCUAGACUGCAAGGAAAAUACCAUCCAAGGGCUGGUGGUAGCAUUUCUUCCUGGAAAAGAGAACUUUAAAAACAUGAUCAGAAAACGCCUGGUGAAAGUUGUAACCGGCUCUGACUGUCCAUGCUGUGACAGCCAACAAAUAUCACCUGCUGAUGAUUUACAGAUUCCUGGGAGAUGUGGUGUUGAGUCUCAAAAACUGGAACAAGAACAACUCACCCAAUAUGCUUCUCAGGAAACAGUGUCUGGAAUCAGGGUCUGAUGGCUGGAAUUAAUGAGCGGCACAUUUGAGGCCUGGUUUUCUCUGGCCUUGGAUCUUGUGAUUGAAUUAUCCUAUGUCUAAGAAGUUAUCAGAGCUUCAUUUGAGACAGUCCUGAACCAAAAUCAUGGAAUCCAAAUUCCUUGAUAUACAAAAUGGUUUAGAUGUAUAUGAACCUGAGUAAUGAGAUAUAGGGAGCUACCUGCAAUUUCAAUUGAGAAAAGUAAUUUGGACAUUCUGGACAGGGGCCACAGGAGCUGGAAUCAGAACAGAAUCUCACCAGAGAUUAGUACCCACACCUCAACAGUGCCUGAGAGAAUUCUGAUUAUGACCUAGGCUGAUUUAUGCUUCUGAACACACCUGGCUAGCCUCAACCGUGAAUUCUGUGUCUACAGAGAGGUGGCAUAAUGGGAGUGUAAGAGGACAUCUCAGUUUUAAAUAAAAAGCCUCUCCAUAUAAAUUCAGACACACUCCUGCUGCUGCAGAAGGACAUUAAUAUGGAAGUCAGACAAGCACGCAUAGACUUAUGAAACUGCAUUUGCUAUCCAACCAAGGCAAGGAGCCCUGCUGAAUUCAGGAAGAAGUCCUGGAGAGGUGCUGCCUUCUUCCAAGAUGUCGGGGUAGUAUUUAAUUUCCUUUUUAUCUUUCUUUUAGUUUUUUGUUUUGUUUUGUGAAGUACUUGUUUUAUAUUAUAAGUUAGGAUUCUGGGAUGCCUGCCAUACUGGCUGAUGUUUCAAUCUGAAUUACACGUGGGACUUGUAUGACUGUCUUGUCUUCUGGGUUGGGAUAUGUACAUCUUUAUUGGGUUUUAUAACAGUUGUCUCUUGUACAUAAUGAAGUGAUAAGAGAAACAGUGUGUACAGCCUUGAGUCUGAAGCUUGACACUAUAUUUCCACUAACAGAGCACCAGUGGUGUGCUAUAAUACAAAAUCCCUAGUACUGAUACUGACAUGAAGCUCACACCAUCCCUCCCAGUAGCAAAAUCCAUUAGUGGAGCUGUGACUCUGGUUGUGUGUUGUAUUAAAGGCUGAAACCUCUUUAUUCAGUGAAGAGGUGGAGCAGCUUCAUUUCCCAUCAUAUUUGGCUGAGGACAAGGAUUGAAUGAUGCUUCACAAGCAGCAAUUUCACAGGUUCUCUAGAUGAAGAGUCUUGCUUUUGUUAUCUUUAAUUGUGACUAACAAUUCUGUGCUCUGUUUAUGAGGUACAGCAAUUACUUGUCGGUGAUUUUUUUUAUUUUCUAUUCAUUGUGCUUGGCACUGACAAGGUGAAAAUGAGAAUGUAUUGUUAUGAUGCUUGUAGACAUUCGUAAUUCAAAUCAAGAGAAGAAUCUGUUGAAGAUGAUCAGAGACCUACCAUUUUUUCAAGUUCUAGGGAUGGAAGGGUUGACACCAACUCUGAUGGAGUCCUAUUAAAUCAGGUUACAAGCAUGCUCUGCUCUCCCAGUCCUACCCCUCCCCUGACUGAAAUUUGCAUCCAUACUGCUAUUACAUAUGUAUGGAGGGAGUUAUUGCAUGAUAAGAAUGGGAAGUCUACAACGUCUUCACAGAGUUGCCAUUCUGGCACUGUUAGCUUGAACCUGUUCAUGCUUUACAGCUCCUGUUCAAAGACAAAGACUUCAUAGCUAUUACCACUCUUCACUGACUGUGCUGUAAUAUAAGCUUUAUUUUAGCCUUUCUUUCUAUUCACUUGAUUCCAAAGUUAUUUUUUCCCUCUAUACAAACUAGUCAGAUUAUUUUCUGUGAGUAUUCCAGUUCAGGGGCAUAUUCCAAAAGGCUAUGUUGCUGAAGGAUAGGUAUGCAAGAAGAAACAUCACAAUCAUAGAAACAGUUAUGACAGAAGAAGAAAAUGUGAAAGAUGUCUGGUAUAUAAGCAGCAAUACUUCAUAAUCAAGUAUUAUUUUCUUCUGUUUCUGAAUAUGCUAUUUUCUCUUAUUUCAGUAAAUUCACCUAUUCACUGCUGGGCUUUUUGUGUUUAUAUGUAUAUAGAUGUAUAUGCGUAUGUAUUGUGUGUGUGUCUGUAUACAUAUACAUAUGGGGGGGUGUAUAUAAAGAGAUAUAUGCUACAGUUUGCUUUAAGGUAAAUUUAUAGUAGUUGUUGAUAGAUGAGGCACUAAAAAUAGGGAAAUUAUUAUAUAAAGGAACAGAAUUUCUAAUGGUUCUGUAAGGCAAUAAUAAAGAAGCUUGUAUUGUCUUUCUAUUUCAUAGAAAAGUCCAUGACUGUGCAUCUAAUAAACUCAUGAAAGCUGGGACACCAAAGUGGUGGAAUGCAUUGACAAUGAAUGCAGCUUUCUUUCAACUGGUGAUGGAUUUUCUGUAGAUGGUAUCAGCAGGCGCAGCAGAAAUGAGAUGCAGCAUAUUCCUUCCCUGGAAGAAACUGCAUCUUCUGACUUCUGCGCCUGAAAUUUUUGACUCUUUUUUGUGUGCUUGCUCGUCUGGUGAUGCUAUCAUCAUCAUCAGAGCUUUUGUUUAGGGUUGUUUUUUCUCCCCUUCUCUCCAUUUUCACUCCACCCCCCACUCCAAGCCCCAGUAUUUCCUUUCAUGCUUUGGCUGAAUGUAAAUCAAAUUUUCUGAUUGCCAAGAGCAAACCUAUACAUAAGCAUAACCAAAGCAAAACUUCAUCUAAAUGUUAAACAAAAACUCUGGUCUAACCCAGAGUUAUGCUCAGUCAUGCCCUCUGGGGUUGUCCAGUUAGCAGCAGUGUGCUAGUUUUCCUUCAUGUGGCAACCACAGUGAGGGCACUCUGGUACACAAACAUCCAGGAAGGUUUGAAUUUAUUGAAAUGCUGGUAGCAGUCAAGUUAUGGCAGCGCUGUACUCAGCACAUGUCAGUUAGCCAUACCUUUUUAUGUAGUUUUGCUGAGCUCUUUGUUGACAUGACUACUGCUGGUUCACAGAUAGCUUUUAAGUCUAGUUUGGGUAUGUAUUAAACAGCAGCCACCAUACGACUGCGCUUUAGACAUAACUUCAAAUACUGUCAGCGGGCUUGCACUGAAAGGGUCUUGCUGCUCUCCUAUCUCCCAGGGGAGAUCAGUGAAAAGGAAGCAAGGUCACAGAGAGGGAACAUCUUGCCUUAUGACCAGGGAGGAUGUAUACUUCAGUCCUUUACAAGCAAGCUUCCUCAUAAAACCUGUUUAAACCCUCUGUAAGUCCAGAUUCAAAGACUUAGUUACGAUUAAGGCCCUCAUCUACUGUCUAUUAGACAUCCACUUACUAAGUGGGCACCUGGAAGCAUCUGAAAAGCCAGAAUCUGAAAGUAAAUAGUACUUUUCCAUGGAUAAUACCUUUGAUUUGAGUAUUUGCAUCCUAAUUCACUAUUCGAUCAUCUGCAGGCUCUGACUCAGAUGGGCUUGGAGGACUCUUGUCAAGAGAUAGCCUUUCCCUUCUCUGUGAUUAACUGUCAAAAAAUAUAUCAGGCUUUUCUCCCACGUUGGCUAGUCAUCUCUCUAAAAUACUAUUUAGACUAAAAGUUAGCAAACAAUGUACUAAAGACAAGAUUUCUAGUAAAAUAAAAAUGUACUUUAUCAGAAAAAGGUUGAAAGAGUUAAAAAAGUAAACCAGAGUCCGUUCCAGACCUUUGCAUUUUGAAAACAUUGAUGAAAUACUUUUUCAGUGUUUUACCAGCACUACUUUCAAGCUUCCUUCCCACGCUGCUGUGCAAGUUACUUGCAGAGUACACAGAGAUACAAAUCUUCACCAAGCCUGACUCCUAGUAUCUCUGACAAAUGCUCAUGCUGUGAAAGAAGAGGCAUUCGGCUGCCCUGGAUUAAGCAGGCUGUCAGACAUGCCCAGAGAAGUUACGAUGAAAAGAAGCUUCUUCAAAAACUUUGUUUAAAGUGAGGGCUGUUAAUCAAGGCCUUGGUGCUCUCAUUAGAGAGGGGAGGAACCAUUUAAAGUCAGGAAGCUGCAGUAUAUGAAAGUCAUGAAAUUGAAAUGAAUGCAUCUUUUGCCAGCUGGUUUCACACCCCCAGUUGGCAAUCCACAAAGGUUUAGAGGGGGAAUUAAAUCCAUUUUUCAGCAGAAAUAACUAUUUUUGUGAUUAUCAUAUAGAUUCCAUGAGCUACACUUUGGUCCUAUCAAGACAGGCAGGCAGCUGCAUGAGAGGUGGAAAGAGAGAAAAUGAGAUAAAAUCACCACCAACAGAUAGAUACUGCAGGCAGGAAGGCAGCGUUGGAUCCCAGCCACAAUACUUCUGCAACCUGGUUUGAAUAGGCCUGAUGGGAUGCCAUAAUGUAACCUUCACUAAACAAAGGAGGGGGCUCAAAAUCUGUGUUCACAGGCUGAGAGCAGGUGUCUGUGAUGAGAUCCCAUGCUGUGACAUGCAUGCAGCGCGUUCUUACAUGAAAAGCCCUGACUGAUGAAAUGACCACAAGAAGACAACAUGGAACCCUUACGGCAUGAUCAGAAGAAACUUAAUUAAGCUCUGUGGUUAAUUUUAAAGUGAGUGUGUGCCUGUUUUAGAAGAGUAUUAAGAAAAAUGAAAACACUGCUAUUUUUUAAUUAUGUUCUAGUCUUCCUGACAUUCUUCAAGCAAACUGUCUUGCUUCUUGCAUGGUCAAAUGAUACAGUGACUCAGAAGUGAACACACACGUCUUUACGUAGAUGGGAUUUAGUAACUUGUCCAAUGUGGUUUUAGAGUUUGUUUCUUAAUUGUGGACGUUUUUCCUUUGGCAGAAGGCAGCACUGAACCCACAGUUCCUGUAGUUGUCCUCAAGACAGUUGUUUUAGUUGUAAUUAUAUGACUGAAAGCAUACAGAGACUAGAAAUUCCCUAUAAUCUUGUUAGGAUUUUCAUCACAGAAAAGAUGAAUGUUUGUGUUAGAAAUAAUAAAAAAAUAAAA